UUAGGUUAAGUUAUUAAGGGCGUAUGGUGGAUGCCUUGGCACUAGGAGCCGAUGAAGGACGUGACUAACUGCGAUAUGCUUCGGGGAGUUGUAAGUAAACUAUGAUCCGGAGAUUUCCGAAUGGGGAAACCUAACAGGUUUUACCGCCUGUUAUCACUAAGUGAAUUCAUAGCUUAGUUGAAGGUAGACGUGGGGAACUGAAACAUCUAAGUACCCACAGGAAGAGAAAGAAAUUCGAUUCCCUCAGUAGCGGCGAGCGAACCGGGAAGAGCCCAAACUAAGAAGCUUGCUUCUUAGGGUUGUAGGACUGAACAUUUGAGUUACCAAGAAAUGAAGUAGUUGAAUAAUCUGGGAAGAUUAGCCAAAGAGAGUGAUAGCCUCGUAAGCGAAACUUCGUUUCCUCAGUUCAGGAUCCUGAGUACGGCGGAACACGUGAAACUCCGUCGGAAUCCGGGAGGACCAUCUCCCAAGGCUAAAUACUACCUAGUGACCGAUAGUGAACCAGUACCGUGAGGGAAAGGUGAAAAGCACCCCGGGAGGGGAGUGAAAUAGUUCCUGAAACCAUAUGCCUACAAGUAGUCAGAGCUCGUUAAUGAGUGAUGGCGUGCCUUUUGUAGAAUGAACCGGCGAGUUACGUUAGCGUGCGAGGUUAAGGAGGAAAGUCCGGAGCCGUAGCGAAAGCGAGUCUGAAUAGGGCGAGAUAGUACGUUGACGUAGACCCGAAACCAGGUGACCUACCCAUGUCCAGGUUGAAGGUGCGGUAAAACGCACUGGAGGACCGAACCCGUGUAUGUUGAAAAAUGCUGGGAUGAGGUGUGGGUAGAGGUGAAAUUCCAAACGAACUUGGAGAUAGCUGGUUCUCUCCGAAAUAGCUUUAGGGCUAGCCUCGGAGUUAAGAAUCGUGGAGGUAGAGCACUGUUUGGACUAGGGGCCCGUCUUGGGUUACUGAAUUCAGAUAAACUCCGAAUGCCACAGAUUUAUAUCCGGGAGUCAGACUGCGAGUGAUAAGAUCCGUAGUCGAAAGGGAAACAGCCCAGACCACCGAUUAAGGUCCCAAAAUAUGUGUUAAGUGGAAAAGGAUGUGGAAUUGCAUAGACAACUAGGAUGUUGGCUUAGAAGCAGCCACCAUUUAAAGAGUGCGUAAUAGCUCACUAGUCGAGUGAUCCUGCGCCGAAAAUGUAACGGGGCUAAACACAUUACCGAAAUCGUGGAUGUACCGUAAGGUACAUGGUAGGAGAGCGUUCUAAGGACGGCGAAGCUAGACCGUAAGGACUGGUGGAGUGCUUAGAAGUGAGAAUGCCGGUAUGAGUAGCGAAAGAUCAGUGAGAAUCUGGUCCACCGUAUGACUAAGGUUUCCUGGGGAAGGCUCGUCCUCCCAGGGUUAGUCGGGACCUAAGCCGAGGCCGAGAGGCGUAGGCGAUGGAUAACAGGUUGAGAUUCCUGUACUGGUUAAACUUGUUUGAACAAUGGAGGGACGCAGGAGGCUAUCGAUGCGUACUGUUGGAUAUGUACGUUCAAGCAACGAGUCUGU
rnacentral:rRNA from 2 species